GCUAGAUUAAUAUUUAUUAUUUUACACAUACUUUUAUGAGUAGAAUAGGAAGAAAUGCUUACAUAACUUUUCAGUCUAGUGAUGAUUCUUCUUUUUUUGUUUGUUUGUUUGUUUUUAACUUUGUAGUCCAUGGCUGAAGUCCUUGCUAAAAAAGAGGAGCUAGCAGAUCGUCUUGAAAAAGCCAAUGAAGAAGCCAUUGCUAGUGCGAUUGCUGAAGAGGAACAGUUAACUAGAGAAAUUGAAGCUGAGGAAAUAACGAUAUUAACAUUGAAACUGACAACGACAGUGAUUUUUCUGCCAGCAUGGGCAGUGGGGGUGUAUCUUUCUGUGGUAUGUCUAUGGACUGGAAUGAUGUUCUUGCAGAUUAUGAAGCUCGUGAAUCUUGGCGCCAGAAUACAUCCUGGGGGGACAUUGUAGAAGAGGAGCCUGCAAGACUUCCAGGGCAUGGAAUUCAUAUGCAUGAGAAACUUUCCUCACCAUCUCGGAAAAGGACAAUUGCAGAAUCUAAGAAGAAGUAUGAGAAAAACACAUGAAAGCACAGCACUAAGGGAAAAGUUACGUGAAGAGAAAACAUUAAAGCUUCAGAAAUUGUUAGAAAGGGUGAGUUUUUCAUUUCAACAAAAUCGUGGGAGUCUUAUAUUUUGGUGGGCUAUUUUUUCAAGUAGACCUUUCUCUUCUGGUUUGAGAGAAGAUAAAAGAAUGACAAAAUUAAAUUUGCUAGGAAAUAAAGCCAUUUCUAUCAAAUUCCAGAGGGCUAAUUGUUUAAAAAGGAAAGAAUUAGUCUUUACUGAACUAUCUAGUAAUUAAUAUUUUGCAAAUUUGCAUGGAUUUUUGAAGCCGUACUUUGUCUGUUGCCAUUUUCACUGGGAGGUUUCCUUGAGUAGUCUUGUCAAAGUGUGAAAAGACUUGGUAGG
rnacentral:lncRNA from 1 species